AGCGAACGCUGGCGGCGUGCCUAACACAUGCAAGUCGAACGUGAAAAGGGAAACCUGAGUAAAGUGGCGUACGGGUGAGUAACGCGUAGGUAAUCUACCCCAGAAUCUGGAAUAACCUGCCGAAAGGCGGGCUAAUACUGGAUAGAGCGAGGGAACUCGUAAGAGAGUUUUUCGGGAAAGGGAGCCCGCAAGGGCCUUCGGUCUGGGAUGAGCCUGCGUCUGAUUAGCUAGUUGGUAAGGUAACGGCUUACCAAGGCGAUGAUGAGUAGCUGGGCUGAGAGGAUGAUCAGCCACACUGGAACUGAAACACGGUCCAGACUCCUACGGGAGGCAGCAGUGGGGAAUCUUGCGCAAUGGACGAAAGUCUGACGCAGCCACGCCGCGUGAGUGAAGAAGGCCUUCGGGUUGUAAAGCUCUGUCGGAUGGGACGAACAUCUUCAUAGUGAAUAGCUAUGAGGACUGACGGUACCAUCAAAGGAAGCACCGGCUAACUCCGUG
rnacentral:rRNA from 1 species